rnacentral:rRNA from 1 species
UAGAAUGCAAGUCGAACGGGAAUUUUUUUGGUAGCAAUACCGAAAAAAUUUCAGUGGCGAACGGGUGCGUAACACGUGGGCAAUCUGCCGAGAAGUGGGGGAUAGCUCGCCGAAAGGCGAAUUAAUACCGCAUGUGAUGAGGGGAGACAUCUUCCCGAAAUCAAAGGUGGCGCAAGCUACCGCUUUUUGAGGAGCCCGCGGCCUAUCAGCUUGUUGGUGAGGUAACGGCUCACCAAGGCGUUGACGGGUAGCUGGUCUGAGAGGACGACCAGUCACACUGGGACUGAGACACGGCCCAGACACCUACGGGUGGCAGCAGUCGAGAAUUUUUCUCAAUGGGGGAAACCCUGAAGGAGCGACGCCGCGUGGAGGAUGAAGGUCUUCGGGUUGUAAACUCCUGUCAUUUGGGAACAAGGCGCAGGUAUUAACUGUACCUGCGUUGAUAGUACCAGAAGAGGAAGAGACGGCUAACUCUGUGCCAGCAGCCGCGGUAAUACAGAGGUCUCAAGCGUUGUUCGGAUUCAUUGGGCGUAAAGGGUGCGUAGGUGGCGCGGUAAGUCGGGUGUGAAAUUUCGGAGCUUAACUCCGAAACUGCAUUCGAUACUGCCGUGCUUGAGGACUGGAGAGGAGACUGGAAUUUACGGUGUAGCAGUGAAAUGCGUAGAGAUCGUAAGGAAGACCAGUGGCGAAGGCGGGUCUCUGGACAGUUCCUGACACUGAGGCACGAAGGCCAGGGGAGCAAACGGGAUUAGAUACCCCGGUAGUCCUGGCAGUAAACGGUGCACGUUU